UACGUAGGGGGCUAGCGUUGUUCGGAAUUACUGGGCGUAAAGCGCACGUAGGUGGCUGGGUAAGUUGGAUGUGAAAUCCCCGGGCUUAACUUGGGAAUUGCAUUCAAGACUGCCUUGCUAGAGUGUGGAAGAGGGAAGCGGAAUUCCAGGUGUAGCGGUGAAAUGCGUAGAUAUCUGGAGGAACAUCAGUGGCGAAGGCGGCUUCCUGGUCCAACACUGACACUGAGGUGCGAAAGCGUGGGGAGCAAACAGG
rnacentral:rRNA from 1 species